rnacentral:tRNA from 1 species
GGUAGUGUGGCCGAGCGGUCUAAGGCCUUGGAUUAAGGCUCCAGUCUCUGGAGGACCUUCGGUUCGAAUCUCACCACUACCA